rnacentral:rRNA from 1 species
AUGCUGUGUGUUCAUGCCGAGACGGACAGCCAAGUCCUUGCCAAAGCACUGAACGGUCGAGAGGUUGAUUUGGCCAUGGAGGGGAUCCUGUUCACAGAAAUCUGCCAGUUCGCGCGCAUGAUUUUUAGUCAUAUAUCCUUCUCUUUCGCCCCCAGCGCAUGUAAUAAGUUAGCUCAUGUUGUAGCUGCUUUUGGCGCAUGACACCCUAUAGUGAGAGAGACCUGGAUUGAGGCUCUCCCUGACGAUGUAUCCGUUGGACGGGCCAGCGCUGAGGCUGGACCCCGGUAA